UAGUCCACGUCGUAAACGAUGGAUACUAGCUGUCUGGAACCUUGAGUUCUGGGCGGCCAAGCGAAAGUGAUAAGUAUCCCACCUGGGGAGUACGUUCGCAAGAAUGAAACUCAAAGGAAUUGACGGGGGCCCGCACAAGCGGUGGAGCAUGUGGUUUAAUUCGAUGAUACGCGAGGAACCUUACCAGGGCUUAAAUGUAUUCUGACAGCUUUAGAGAUAGAGUUUCCUUCGGGCAGAUUACAAGGUGCUGCAUGGUUGUCGUCAGCUCGUGCCGUGAGGUGUCAGGUUAAGUCCUAUAACGAGCGCAACCCCUGCCGUUAGUUGCCAGCAUGUAAUGGUGGGGACUCUAGGAAGACUGCCGGCGUAAGCCGUGAGGAAGGUGGGGACGACGUCAAAUCAUCAUGGCCUUUAUGCCUAGGGCUACACACGUGCUACAAUGGUGCAUACAGCGGGUAGCGAAAUCGCGAGGUGGAGCUAAUCUUGUAAAGUGCAUCCCAGUUCGG
rnacentral:rRNA from 1 species